UUUGUUUCUUUCAAGCCUUUUGCCAAAAGGGUUUGCAACAAUGCAGAUAAUAAAACUUGAAUUUAAAGCGAUUUCAAAAAAGGAAUGGAGAGAGUUCAAGGAAACCAUGGUGUUGAUCAUUGAUUGCAGAGGGAAUUGGAGAUGGUGAAUUCAACUAUUCAGACAUAAAGUGAAUAAUUCAUGAAGAUGUUUAUGCUGUGUCUGCUGGAUACAAGUCACCCUUCUAGAUCUGUGAAGAAGAGUUCCUGUUUCAUGAAGCUUAGAAUCCACAGAUGGGGUCAAGUAAUACGCAGGCUGAUAAAUAGUAGGCAGUAUUGCUGAUGUGAAGAAGAAAGUUUCAGGAUAGCGAGACAACAUGUAUAUAGAUAUGAAAGUGACCAUCCCAACACGGAAGUGUCAAGAAAGCAUUUUACAGCAGGAUACAUCCUCUGCAGCAAAUUUUAAGUGUAGUCCUGUCUGAAGGGAGGCAGAUGAAGAGGAUGACGUUCUUCUGUCCCUGGCAACCUGUAGAUCAUAAGACGAUACUGACACUGCGACUGAAGUCUAUCUUUCACUGCACUUGCUCAAAGGAAGUACGGGCCAUAUGGCCAAAUUGGAAGGACACAAAACACUCAUUACGAUCCAAUUUAGUCACUUAUGUGACUGGACAGUACUGC